UUCCGGUUGAUCCUGCCGGACCUGACUGCUAUCGGAUUGAUACUAAGCCAUGCGAGUUUUUGUAGCAAUACAAGGCAUACGGCUCAGUAACACGUAGUCAAUCUAACCUAUGGACGAGGAUAACCUCGGGAAACUGAGAAUAAUACUCGAUAGAUCAUUAUGCCUGGAACGGUUUAUGGUUCAAAUGAAUUUCGCCAUAGGAUGGGACUGCGGUCUAUCAGCUUGUUGGUGAUGUAAUGGACCACCAAGGCUAUUACAGAUACGGGCUCUGAGAGGAGAAGCCCGGAGAUGGGUACUGAAACACGGACCCAGGCCCUAUGGGGCGCAGCAGGCGAGAAAACUUUGCAAUGUGCGAAAGCACGACAAGGUUAAUCCGAGUGAUUCCUGCUAAAGGAAUCUUUUGUUAGUCAUAAUACCACUAAUGAAUAAGGGGUGGGCAAGUUCUGGUGUCAGCCGCCGCGGUAAAACCAGCACCUCAAGUGGUCAGGAUGAUUAUUGGGCCUAAAGCAUCCGUAGCCGGCUUUGUUAGUUUUCGGUUAAAUCCAUAUGCUCAACAUAUGGGCCGCCGGGAAUACUGUAAAGCUAGGGAGUGGGAGAGGUAGACGGUACUCCGUAGGAAGGGGUAAAAUCCUUUGAUCUAUGGAUGACCACCAGUGGCGAAGGCGGUCUACCAGAACACGUUCGACGGUGAGGGAUGAAAGCUGGGGGAGCAAACCGGAUUAGAUACCCGGGUAGUCCCAGCUGUAAACUAUGCAAACUCAGUGAUGCAUUGGCUUGUGGCCAGUGCAGUGCCGCAGAGAAGUCGUUAAGUUUGCCGCCUGGGAAGUACGUACGCAAGUAUGAAACUUAAAGGAAUUGGCGGGGGAGCACCACAAGGGGUGAAGCCUGCGGUUCAAUUGGAGUCAACGCCGGGA
rnacentral:rRNA from 1 species